rnacentral:rRNA from 1 species
GUAGGGAAUCUUCCACAAUGGGCGCAAGCCUGAUGGAGCAACGCCGCGUGUGUGAUGAAGGCUUUCGGGUCGUAAAGCACUGUUGUAUGGGAAGAAAUGCUAAAAUAGGGAAUGAUUUUAGUUUGACGGUACCAUACCAGAAAGGGACGGCUAAAUACGUGCCAGCAGCCGCGGUAAUACGUAUGUCCCGAGCGUUAUCCGGAUUUAUUGGGCGUAAAGCGAGCGCAGACGGUUGAUUAAGUCUGAUGUGAAAGCCCGGAGCUCAACUCCGGAAUGGCAUUGGAAACUGGUUAACUUGAGUGUUGUAGAGGUAAGUGGAACUCCAUGUGUAGCGGUGGAAUGCGUAGAUAUAUGGAAGAACACCAGUGGCGAAGGCGGCUUACUGGACAACAACUGACGUUGAGGCUCGAAAGUGUGGGUAGCAAACAGGAUUAGAAACCCUAGUAGUCC